GACGAACGCUGGCGGCGUGCUUAACACAUGCAAGUCGAACGGAAAGGCCCUGCUUUUGUGGGGUGCUCGAGUGGCGAACGGGUGAGUAACACGCGAGUAACCUGCCCUUGACUUUGGGAUAACUUCAGGAAACUGGGGCUAAUACCGGAUAGGAGCUCCUGCUGCAUGGUGGGGGUUGGAAAGUUUCGGCGGUUGGGGAUGGACUCGCGGCUUAUCAGCUUGUUGGUGGGGUAGUGGCUUACCAAGGCUUUGACGGGUAGCCGGCCUGAGAGGGGGACCGGCCACAUUAGGACUGAGAUACGGCCCAGACUCCUACGGGAGGCAGCAGUGGGGAAUAUUGCACAAUGGGCGGAAGCCUGAUGCAGCAACGCCGCGUGCGGGAUGACGGCCUUCGGGUUGUAAACCGCUUUCGCCUGUAACGAAGCGUGAGUGACGGUAAUGGGUAAAGAAGCACCGGCUAACUACGUG
rnacentral:rRNA from 1 species